rnacentral:rRNA from 1 species
GACAGAGGUUGCAAACGUUGUUCGGAAUUACUGGGCAUAAAGCGCACGUAGGUGGUCCGCUAAGUCGAUUGUGAAAUUCCCCGGCUCAACCGGGGAACGGCACUCGAUACUGGCGGGCUUGAGGUCCGGAGGGGUGAGUGGAACUCCUGGUGGAGCGGUGAAAUGCGUAGAUAUCAGGAGGAACACCGGUGGCGAAGGCGGCUUCCUGGACCGACACUGACGCUGAGGCGCGAAAGCUAGGGGAGCAAACGGG